rnacentral:rRNA from 1 species
AUACGUAGGGAGCGAGCGUUGUCCGGAAUUACUGGGUGUAAAGGGAGCGUAGGCGGGAGUGCAAGUCAGAUGUGAAAUACAUGGGCUCAACCCAUGGGCUGCAUUUGAAACUGCAUUUCUUGAGUGAAGUAGAGGGAAGCGGAAUUCCUGGUGUAGCGGUGAAAUGCGUAGAUAUCAGGAGGAACACCGGUGGCGAAGGCGGCUUACUGGGCUUUUACUGACGCUGAGGCUCGAAAGCGUGGGGAGCAAACAGGAUUAGAUACCCUGGUAGUCCACGCUGUAAACGAUGAUCACUAGGUGUGGGGGGACUGACCCCUUCCGUGCCGCAGUUAACACAAUAAGUAAUCCACCUGGGGAGUACGGCCGCAAGGUUGAAACUCAAAUGAAUUGACGGGG